ensembl:lncRNA
UUGGAGGUCAGUCAAAGUGUAUAAAUACCUGAAAGUGAUGUCUACGUCAGCUCCCUGCGCCGUCCAGUUUAUUCGUUAAAUAUUCAAUAAAUCAAUUCACUCCAUUUAUUACUUCUAAUAAUGGUGAAAUGUGAGGAUAACUUACUGCUAAACCAUCGCACGUCAGGAGCGGAGUCUCCUCAGACUUUGAAGAGUCAUCAAGGAGAAGGUGGAGGCACGGAAAGAUGAAGACAGAGAAAGGAAUCCAGAAAAUAGUGAGAGAAGGACCAUAAAGGACUUGGCUUGCGAACCAGAGGGUCACCAGUUCAAGUCCCCGAACGGACAAAGUGUAGACUGGUACUCAGCGAGGAGCCGGUCCAUGUCGACACUGUUCCCCUGCCUCUGUAUAGUAGCUGCCAACAACUGCUCAUUCUGGGUUGGGUUAAAUGCAGAGUCUGAAUUGCUCUGUGUGUUGCGCAUGUGGGACAAUAAAUGCAUGAGAAAUAAAUAUCUUUAUCUCUAAGAUGUAAAUCUGAAACUAACAAUAAAGCCGGACUGUCUAAUUUCAUGAACCAGCACAUACCCGUUGGACUAUACAGACUGAAUUAUACUUAUAUUGUAUCAAUAAAAAAGAAAUCCAUGUACAAGGGAAACGCCCUGUCACUUUUUAUCAGAGUUAAGUGAGUCAGCAAGCAAGUUAGACUCGUUUAUAGUUCAGUAUCUCCUCAUACCAGGCACAUCCAGUCAUCCCUGAGGGAAUGUUUUCGUGGUGUGAUCAUCAGUAACUGCGUGGAAUGUGCUUCUCUUAUGAAAAACAAGCCUAGCUCUACUUUAUGUGGCUGAAGUACUGUAUUCAUAAACAUAGAUGGUAUAAGGAUACAACAUGUAGGAAAGUUCAGCACAUAAAAUACUAAAGUCUGUGUCAUGACUCACCUCGUUGUUGCUUACAGCAGAAGUAUCUGAUGUAAGGAUAAAUACAAUGUGCACAAUUCAUCAAUAUGAAAUGAAAGAUAUAAAGUUUUACUAUAAGUUGUCCUGAUAUAAUCACAUCACAAUGUGUCAACAAGGGCAACAUACACACAGAUAUGAACACUCCUGCUUUGAUAGGCAUGUCAAUAAACAGCAGCAGCUAGAAGUAUUUAUUCAUGAUGUAAUCCUUGUGUGAACCCCACUGUACACUACUUAUACAGAAGUCAAUGAUGCCACUUAGCUGAAUGUCGUUGCUGCUGCUUUUAUUUCUAAAAGCUUCUCAUGACAUCUUUAAUCUUCACUGCAUCUCAUUUUAC